rnacentral:rRNA from 1 species
CUUACCAUGCAGUCGAACGGCAGCACGGACUUCGGUCUGGUGGCGAGUGGCGAACGGGUGAAUAAUGUAUCGGAACGUGCCCAUUAACGGGGGAUAGCUACGCGAAAGCGGAACUAAUACCGCAUACGCCCUACGGGGGAAAGCAGGGGAUCGUGGGACCUUGCACUAUUGGAGCGGCCGAUAUCGGAUUGUCUAGUUGGUGGGGUAACGGCUCACCAAGGCGACGAUCCGUAGCUGGUUUGAGAGGACGACCAGCCACACUGGGACUGAGACACGGCCCAAACUCCUACAGGAGGCAGCAGUGGGGAAUUUUGGACUAUGGGGGAAACCCUGAUCCACCCAUCCCGCGUGUGCGAUGAAGGCCUUCGGGUUGUAAAGCACUUUUGGCCUGAAAGAAACGUCAUGGGUUAAUACCCCGUGAAACUGACGGUACCUGCAGAAUAAGCACCGGCUAACUACGUGCCUUCAGCCGCGGUAAUACGUAAGGUGCAAGGGUUAAUCGGAAUUACUGGGCGUAUAGCGUGCGCACGCGGUUCGGAAAGAAAGAUGUGAAAUCCCAGAGCUUAACUUUGGAACUGCAUUUUUAACUACCGGGCUGGAGUGUGUCAGAUGGGAGGUGGAAUUCCGCGUGUAGCAGUGAAAUGCGUAGAUAUGCGGAGGAACACCGAUGGCAUAAAGCAGCCUCCUGGGAUAACACUGACGCUCAUGCACGAAAGCGUGGAGAGCAAACAGGAUCAGAUACUGUCAUAGUCCACGCUCUAAACGAGGUCUAACAGAUCAUGUCGCCUCCCGGGCUGGGUAGAGCAGCUCAGGAGUGAAGUUGACGGCCUGGGGAGUACGGUCGCAAGACUAAAAGUCAUUCGAGAUGACGCGGACCCGCACAAGCGUUGGAGGAUUUGGAUUAAUUAGAUGAAAUGACACAACCCUUACGUGCCCUCGACAUAUCUGGAAUGAGGAAGAGAUUUGCCAGUGCUCGCAAGAGAACGGGAACACCGGGGGUGCAUGGCUGUCGUCAGGUCGGAUGGUGAGAUGAUGGGUUAAGUCCCGCAAAGAGCGCACCCCUUGUCAUUAGUUAAUCCGAAAGGGCAUUUUAAUGAGACUGCCGGUGACAAACGGGAGGAAGGUGGGGAUGACGUCAAGUCCUCAUGCCCCUUAUGGGUAGGGCUUCACACGUCAUACAAUGGUAGUGACAGAGGGUUGCCAACCCGUGAGGGGGAGCCAAUCCCAGAAACCCGAUCGUAGUCCGGAUUGGCAUUUUGCAUCUUUAUUGCGGGACGUCGGAAUCACUAGUAACGCCGGAUCAUUACGAUGAGGGGAAUCCCUUCCCGGGUUUCGUACACACCGCCCGUCACGCCAUGGGAUUGGGUUUUACCAGAAGUAGUUAGCCUAACCGCAAGGGGGGCGAUUACCACGGUAGGAUUCAUGACUGGGGUGAAGUCGUAACAACGUAG